rnacentral:lncRNA from 1 species
GUUGGCCAGGCUGGUCUUGAACUCAUGGCCUCAAGUUACCCAUCCACCUUGGCCUCCCAAGUGUUCUAGAAUUACAGGCAUGAGCCACUGCAUCCAGCCUUAUCUUUAAUUUUUUAAAUCAUGUUUAUCAGUUCUCUGGAGGAAACAGUGUUGGAAUAAAUAAUAAAUUUGUAAACCCAGAGUAGAAUAUAAUCUUGACUUCAUUGACAAUAAUUGAAAUUUAAAACAACAAAGUACAACUCAAAAACCCAAGAGGUGUGGGGAGAGACACAAACUGAAGGAAACACAAUCAAAAAAGAAAAGCACAUGACAUAACUCACUUAAGUUUUUGAACAGAUUAUUGUAACAUACAGAAAGUUGUCAGCAAGUUUAUAUACCUGAUCUGAUAUCUUGUCUCAGUGUCAUGAGAAUGCUAAGAAGUAACACAGGGUAACCCUUUUAAAAGACUUUAUCGUUUUAGUGGCAUGAUGCAUCAUUUUUUUUGCAUUUAAUUCAGAAACUGGAAGAAUAUUCUCUGAGUUAAAUUUGAGGUGGAUGCCACUGUGCAGUUUCACUAAAAUACCCAGACAGUUUGAUAUCAUGUGCACAAUCUGUUAGCUCAGGAAGAACGGGAGAAAGAUAUGGUCCUUGUGUAUGUGUGGAAAGUCAUCAUAACUUCAUUCAGUUUCUGUCUUCUUCCAGUCAGGGAUCUACUAGCUUGACUAUUCUUCACUUGUUCCCUUUCAUUUACAGGUCACCCAACAAGACAAACAACACAGGUCCAGGAAAGAGUCCUGGGAAAUAGGAUUUACAUAUACAUGUGGACAUGAGCACAACCCACAGGAUCACUUGCACAGUCACUUUCACCUGAGCUGACAGGUCUCUUACACUGUACCACCCAGUCCAUGUCUGCAGCCUUCGGGAGCAUGACAUCCCUUCGGCUGGAGACUGCCUGGCCUGCUCUUCUCCUUCUCAGGUACCCCGUGUAUCUAAUAGGUUUACCUACCCAGAUGUGUUCCUGAUGAUGAUGCUGGUUUCACUUGCAAAUUCCCACAUUAUUCCUACCCCUCUGGUUUGGGUGUUUUAAUUUUACUGGAUAAUGAUCGUGGUGAUUUUAAACAUUUCCUGUUGCUUGUUAAACUGCCUGCCCGAUUCAGCUCCAAAUAACAGCUUUUGCAUGCAAGUGAAAAUUUAGCUCCUAGUAUUUAACAACUACUAUAAUUUUAAAAUCUACUUUCAAUUAAGAAAACCUUGUAAUUCUAAAAAGUGGUUG